rnacentral:rRNA from 1 species
UCCUACGGGGGGCAGCAGUGGGGAAUAUUGCACAAUGGGCGAAAGCCUGAUGCAGCGACGCCGCGUGAAGGAUGAAGUAUUUCGGUAUGUAAACUUCUAUCAGCAGGGAAGAAAAUGACGGUACCUGACUAAGAAGCCCCGGCUAACUACGUGCCAGCAGCCGCGGUAAUACGUAGGGGGCAAGCGUUAUCCGGAUUUACUGGGUGUAAAGGGAGCGUAGACGGCGAUGCAAGCCAGAUGUGAAAGCCCGGGGCUCAACCCCGGGACUGCAGUUGGAACUGUGUGGCUGGAG